rnacentral:rRNA from 1 species
GACGAACGCUGGCGGCGUGCUUAACACAUGCAAGUCGAACGGAAAGGCCUGCUUUCCCUUGUGGAUUGCGGGUACUCGAGUGGCGAACGGGUGAGUAACACGUGAGUGAUCUGCCCCCAACUUGGGUAUAAGCCUGGGAAACUGGGUCUAAUUCCCGAUAGGACUGCAGGGUGGUGCCUGUGGUGGAAAACGAUUUUCUAGUGGUUGGGGAUGAGCUCGCGGCCUAUCAGCUUGUUGGUGGGGUAAUGGCCUACCAAGGCGGCGACGGGUAGCCGGCCUGGGAGCGUGGACGGUGAAAUUGGGACUGGGUCCAGGCCCAGACGCCUACGGGAGGCAGGAGAGGGGAAUAUUGGACCACAGGCGGAAGCCUGCUGCAGCGACUCGGCGUAGAGGACGUCGGGCUUGGGGUGGUAAACUGUUUGCGAACGAGAGGAAGAGACCUGGUUGGAGGGGUGGUGACGGUAGUGGUAGAAGAAGCACCGGCUAACUACGUG